AUUUUCUUGGCAGAUUAGUGCAAUAAAUUUAGGAUUUAUUUAAGUGAUAAUAUAUCACAGUGAAUA
rnacentral:tRNA from 1 species